AUUGAACGCUGGCGGAAUGCUUUACACAUGCAAGUCGAACGGCAGCACGGACUUCGGUCUGGUGGCGAGUGGCGAACGGGUGAGUAAUGUAUCGGAACGUGCGCAGUCGUGGGGGAUAACGUAGUGAAAAUUACGCUAAUACCGCAUACGAUCUAUGGAUGAAAGCGGGGGAUCGCAAGACCUCGCGCGAUUGGAGCGGACGAUAUCAGAUUAGGUAGUUGGGGGGGUAAAGGCCCACCAAGCCAACGAUCUGGAGCUGGUCUGAGAGGACGACCAGCCACACUGGAACUGAGACACGGUCCAGACUCCUACGGGAGGCAGCAGUGGGGAAUUUUGGACAAUGGGCGAAAGCCUGAUCCAGCCAUUCCGCGUGCAGGAUGAAGGCCCUCGGGUUGUAAACUGCUUUUGUACAGAACGAAAAGGUUUCUACUAAUACUAGGAGCUCAUGACGGUACUGUAAGAAUAAGCACCGGCUAACUACGUGCCAGCAGCCGCAGUAA
rnacentral:rRNA from 1 species